rnacentral:lncRNA from 1 species
CAUUAUUUCAAGAAAUUUUAACAAAUAAACAAUUUGGGAUUUUUUCUAGGUUUAGGGUUUUUUCUUUUUGCUUAAGAAUUUUGUUUUGUUUGUGGAACUUGUAGCUUCUUUAUAACCCUUCUUGCAAGAUUCACUAACAAUCUUCACACUUUUCUUGAAAAAUACCUUCAGAUCUUUACUUUUCUCCUUCAUAUGUAAAUGAAAAUUUGCCAUUAUUUCAAGAAAUUUUAACAAAUAAACAAUUUGGGAUUUUUUCUAGGUUUAGGGUUUUUAAUUUUUGCUUAAGAAUUUUGUUUUGUUUGUGAAGCUUGUAGCUUCUUUAUAUAAAGAAAAGAGAUUGAGUGGAGAUACAACGGACUAUGACACGUGGAAGAUGUUGAUUGGUUAGAGGUUUUUGAGAGUUCUGUUCUUAGUACUACUUCGCCGUUUGAUUAUGGGGAAUGGUGAUAGUGGACUUGGUGCCUGUGUCGUAAAAGCCCAAUUUAAUUGGGUGAUAAAUAAUCUUACUUGGCAAUCUGGCACACAU